AAAACAUAAUAGUUUGAAAUGGAAAACGAUAUGGUUUGAUCUGGAAAACAAUAUGGUUUGAUCUAAAAAAAAAAAUGGAAUUCUAAAAAUGCUGACAUUUUCAACACAAUACAUUAAAGCCGAUAAAGUUUGCUCCUUGUCUAAGACUAGGCAGAGAAAACGUGUUUCUUUCAGAUUUGUUUCUCCUGGGGGACAGACUAAAUUUUCCGGAGGGGUGGACACUGGCACAUUAGAGCAAAAGGACUACGACAUUUGCCGAGUCGGUAUGCUGAUGCUUCGUAGUGCAGCUAUUAACCUAUAUGGUGGUGCAUUUAUUUAUUUGUUUACUUCUUAAAGACCAAGUUUGUA